GCCUGCAGCUAUAUCCUAAGGCUGUGAUAUCAUUGGAUCUCAUAAACUAAGCAAGAUUUGUUCUGAUCAGUAGUUGAAUGGGAGACCUCCAAGAAAAACACAAGUGCUCUAGAAA
rnacentral:rRNA from 1 species